AGUUUGGCUCUAUCGAAGACUAUGUAAAUGAAUACAAUUAACCACAUUUUCAUAGAUCAAAAGUGAGCCUAAAGCAAUUUUUGUAACGACGGUCUUUGCUUUAUCAUUUUACCAGAUACUGCAAUAACAUUUACGUUCAAUUACAAAU